GCAUAUGUUGUCUGUUGUCUCCUCCACGUGCUGCCUCGGUUUCCCUCCUGGGAAGAAUCCGGACCCUGCAGCUUGUUGUGGCUCCUUGACUCUUCAGGAAGGACGAAACAGAUGGAUCCUGCAAAGCUAGUGAGGAUGGAAGGAGGAAGAUGGACUGUUGACCUGGUCAGGUUGUCUCCUGCAUCCCUCCUCACAGCCUCCGAGCGUUCCCUCCCAGGGACUUCUGAGAGAUCUGACAAUUUGAUGGAUCUUGACCAGAGAGCUCUGCAUAAGGAAGUCAAGGAGGAGAAUCGUGGGGUCAUGGACCCUCUUGGUAACGCUUCCUGUUGGAUCAUAAUAUCUGUUUUGAAAUUAAGCAAGUAACUUAGUUUUUGAA